UCGGGAAUACUUCGCAAUGGACGAAAGUCUGACGAUGCGACGCCGCGUGCACGAUGAAGGCCUUCGGGUUGUAAAGUUCUGUUGUCCUGGAACAAGAGUGGUCGACGAAUAGUUGAUCACGAUGAGGGUACAGGAAGAAGAAGCACCGGCUAAUUCCGUGCCAGCAGCUGCGGUAAUACGGAAGGUGCAAGCGUUAGUCGGAAUUACUGGGCGUAAAGGGUGCGUAGGCGGAGGUGUAAGUCGGAUGUGAAAUCCCGGGGCUUAACCUCGGAAAUGCAUACGAAACUAC
rnacentral:rRNA from 1 species